CUCUAACCUCUGAGCUAAGCGGGC
rnacentral:tRNA from 5 species